CACCAGACUCCUACGGGAGGCAGCAGUGGGGAAUAUUGCACAAUGGGGGAAACCCUGAUGCAGCGACGCCGCGUGAGUGAAGAAGUAUUUCGGUAUGUAAAGCUCUAUCAGCAGGGAAGAAAAUGACGGUACCUGACUAAGAAGCCCCGGCUAACUACGUGCCAGCAGCCGCGGUAAUACGUAGGGGGCAAGCGUUAUCCGGAUUUACUGGGUGUAAAGGGAGCGUAGACGGCCAAGCAAGCCAGGGGUGAAAGCCCGGGGCCCAACCCCGGGACUGCCCUUGGAACUGCAUGGCUGGAGUGCGGGAGGGGCAGGCGGAAUUCCUGGUGUAGCGGUGAAAUGCGUAGAUAUCAGGAGGAACACCGGCGGCGAAGGCGGCCUGCUGGACCGUAACUGACGCUGAGGCACGAAAGUGUGGGGAGCAAACAGGAUUAGAUACCCCCGUAUCG
rnacentral:rRNA from 1 species